rnacentral:ncRNA from 2 species
UUCAUUCGCUAGGGGUGCCUGAAGGCUGAGAGAUUUUAUCAACCCUUAUUACUUGAUACGGUUAAUACCGUCGUAAGGAAGCAAUAUGUUGGUUAA